rnacentral:rRNA from 1 species
UACGAAGGGGGCUAGCGUUGUUCGGAAUUACUGGGCGUAAAGGGCGCGCAGGCGGCCCUCCAAGUCAGUGGUGAAAGCCCGGAGCUCAACUCCGGAACUGCCAUUGAAACUGUUUAGCUUGAGGAUGAGAGAGGUGAGUGGAAUUCCCAGUGUAGAGGUGAAAUUCGUAGAUAUUGGGAAGAACACCGGUGGCGAAGGCGGCUCACUGGCUCAUUACUGACGCUCAGGCGCGAUAGCGUGGGGAUCAAACAGG